AUUGAACGCUGGCGGCAGGCCUAACACAUGCAAGUCGAACGAGUGGCGCAAGGGUGAGUAAUGUCUGGGAAACUCCCAGAUGGAGGGGGAUAACUAGUGGAAACGUUAGCAAAUACCAAAUAGCAUACGAUGUGCCCAGAUGGGAUUAGCUAGUAGGUGGGGUAAAGGCUCACCUCGGCGACGAUCCCUAGCUGGUCUGAGAGGAAGACAAGCCACACUGGAACUGAGACACGGUCCAGACUCCGACGGGAGGCAGCAGUGGGGAAUAUUGCACAAUGGGCGCAAGCCUGAUGCAGCCAUGCCGCGUGUAUGAAGAAGGCCUUCGGGUUGUAAAGUACUUUCAGCGGGGAGGCGUUACCCGCAGAAGAAGCACCGGCUAACUCCGUGCCAGCAGCCGCGGUAAUAC
rnacentral:rRNA from 1 species